CUCUCUUCCGCCUCUCUUCCUCCAUCACGCUCUCACACAGGCACAUCGCACAAAGAUCAAACUCCAAUAUGACCAGAUCAGACUCUUUCUCUCUCUUCCGCCUCUCUUCCUCCUCUCUUCUUCCAUCACGCUCUCACACAGGCACAUCGCACAAAGAUCAAACUCCAAUAUGACCAGAUCAGACUCUUUCUCUCUCUUCCGCCUCUCUUCCUUCUCUCUUCUUCCAUCACGCUCUCACACAGGCACAUCGCACAAAGAUCAAACUCCAAUAUGACCAGAUCAGACACCGAUCAAGACACCAAACGGUUCUAUAUGGAAGUCGUCAUCACCGGCGCUAUCAACAAGUGAUGGGUUUGUCAACACCGUCUUCUGGAUCCAGACCAUUCUCGGCCGAAGCUUAGAUCGGGUAUAGGGCCGACGAGAUCGGAAGAGUACGGCAUCCCCGAUGAAUAUCUUCGUAGAAAGACAACUGUAGUAAGGAGUAACUUGAAUCCAGUCUUGAAUGAGGAGCUCAUGUUGUCUGUUCCUUGGCGAUAUGGAGAAUUGAAGGCAUGGAGCUUUACAGUUGGUUACAUCAUAUGAUGCUUGAAGAUUUGCCGAAUGGUAUUAUGGAUGAGGUACUGUGAGCAUGUUGCCAUUUGCUUUGAAAGAGUUUGUCCAUAUCAAAGAAGGGUUGCAGUUGUGGAGAAGAAAUUUUGUUGUCUCUGGAUGUAAUGAAUUAUUUUUAGUUGGCAAAUUUGUUGUAUGAUGCAUUUUUUUAUUAUAGUAUACAGUACAUGAAAUGUAGAGGUGCCAAAUAUUAGUAUUAGCUAGUAUUU